rnacentral:rRNA from 1 species
UGGGGAAUAUUGGACAAUGGGCGCAAGCCUGAUCCAGCCAUGCCGCGUGGGUGAAGAAGGCCUUCGGGUUGUAAAGCCCUUUUGUUGGGAAAGAAAUCCUGUCGGCUAAUACCCGGCGGGGAUGACGGUACCCAAAGAAUAAGCACCGGCUAACUUCGUGCCAGCAGCCGCGGUAAUACGAAGGGUGCAAGCGUUACUCGGAAUUACUGGGCGUAAAGCGUGCGUAGGCGGUUCGUUAAGUCUGUCGUGAAAGCCCUGGGCUCAACCUGGGAAUUGCGAUGGAUACUGGCGAGCUAGAGUACGGUAGAGGAUGGUGGAAUUCCCGGUGUAGCGGUGAAAUGCGUAGAGAUCGGGAGGAACACCCGUGGCGAAGGCGGCCAUCUGGACCAGUACUGACGCUGAGGCACGAAAGCGUGGGGAGCAAACAG